rnacentral:rRNA from 1 species
AUUGAACGCUGGCGGCAGGCCUAACACAUGCAAGUCGAACGAGUGGCGGACGGGUGAGUAAUGUCUGGGAAACUGCCUGAUGGAGGGGGAUAACUACUGGAAACGGUAGCUAAUACCGCAUACCAUCAGAUGUGCCCAGCUGGGAUUAGCUUUUUGGGGGGGUAACGGCUCCCCAAGGCGACGAUCCCUAGCUGGUCUGAGAGGAUGACAAGCCAAACUGGAACUGAGACACGGUCCAGACUCCUACGGGAGGAAGCAGUGGGGAAUAUUGCACAAUGGGCGCAAGUCUGCUGUAGCCAUGCCGCGUGUAUGAAGCAGGCCUUCGGGUUUUAAAGUACUUUCAGCGGGGAGGCGUUACCCGCAGAAGAAGCACCGGCUAACUCCGUGCCAGCAGCCGCGGUAAUUC